rnacentral:rRNA from 1 species
UACGAAGGGGGCUAGCGUUGUUCGGAAUUACUGGGCGUAAAGCGUGCGCAGGCGGUUUGCUAAGACAGGUGUGAAAUCCCCGGGCUUAACCCUGGGAUGCCGGUGGAUACUGUCGGGCUCGAGUCCGGAAGAGGCGAGUGGAAUUCCUGGUGUAGCGGUGAAAUGCGCAGAUAUCAGGAGGAACACCAAUGGCGAAGGCAGCUCGCUGGGACGUGACUGACGCUGAGACGCGAAAGCGUGGGGAGCAAACAGG